rnacentral:rRNA from 1 species
GGGUGAGAGCGUGCCUUUUGCAGAAUGAACCGGCGAGUUAUUGUAUUAUGCAAGGUUAAGUCGAACAGAUGGAGCCGAAGCGAAAGCGAGUCUGAAUAGGGCGCUUAAGUAUGAUGCAAUAGACCCGAAACCGAGUGAUCUAGCCAUGAGCAGGUUGAAGUUGGGGUAAGACCCAAUGGAGGACCGAACCGAUAUGCCCGGAAACGCGUACGGAUGACUUGUGGUUAGCGGAGAAAUUCCAAACGAACUCGGAGAUAGCUGGUUCUCCCCGAAAUAGGUUUAGGCCUAGCCUUGAUUGAAUCUGCCUGGAGGUAGAGCACUGAAUGUGCGAUGGCGUCGUCUAGAUGUACUGAGUACAAUCAAACUCCGAAUGCUGGGUAGUACUAAUCAGGAGUCACUGUAUGGGUGAUAACGUCCAUACGGGAGAGGAAAAGAAUCCGGAUCGCCAGCUAAGGUCCCAAAAUUUGUGUUAAGUGGGAAAGGAUGUAGAGUUGUCAAAACAGCUAGGAGGUUGGCUUAGAAGCAGCCACCCUUUAAAGAGUGCGUAAUAGCUCACUAGUCGAGUGACACUGCGCCGAAGAUGUACCGGGGCUAAACACAAUACCGAAGCUGCGGACUUGUACAUAAGUGCAAGUGGUAGGGGAGCGUUCUAAGUGCUGAGAAGGUAGACCGUAAGGACUGCUGGAGCGCUUAGAAGUGAGAAUGCCGGUGUGAGUAACGAAAAUUGGGUGAGAAUCCCAUUCACCGUUUGACUAAGGGUUCCUGGGUAAAGUUCGUCUUCCCAGGGUAAGUCAGGACCUAAGAUGAGGCUGAAAAGCGUAGUCGAUGGACAACAGGUUGAUAUUCCUGUACCACCUAUAUGACUGAAGGAGUGACGGAGAAAGCUAGUGAGAGCCAGUUAAUGGAUUCUGGUCUAAGUGCGUAGGCUAGUAUGUUGGCAAAUCCGCAAUACUAUAACAGCUGAAACAUGAUGGGGAAGAGAGUCUUCGGACAAUCGAACUUUCAUGAUGCUAUGCUUCCAAGAAAAGCUUCUAGGGUUAAUCGUAUAGGUGCCUGUACCGACAACCGACACAGGUGGUCAAGGAGAGUAUCCUAAGGUGAGCGAGAGAACUAUGGUUAAGGAACUCGGCAAAAUGACCCCGUAACUUCGGGAGAAGGGGUGGUCUAGCGAUAGACCCGCAGUGAAUAGGCCCAGGCAACUGUUUACCAAAAACACAGGUCUCUGCUAACACGUAAGUGGAUGUAUAGGGGCUGACGCCUGCCCAGUGCUGGAAGGUUAAAGAGAUUAGUUAGUAUGACGUAAGUCGAUAAUACGAAGCUUUGAACUGAAGCCCCAGUGAACGGCGGCCGUAACUAUAACGGUCCUAAGGUAGCGAAAUUCCUUGUCAGGUAAGUUCUGACCCGCACGAAAGGCGUAAUGAUCUGGGUACUGUCUCAACCAUAGACUCGGUGAAAUCUUAAUACCUGUGAAAAUGCAGGUUACCCGCGACUGGACGGAGAGACCCCGUGGAGCUUUACUGUAGCUUGAUAUUGGAAUUCGGUAAACUAUGUAGAGCAUAGGUGGGAGACUAUGAGAUUAAGGCGCCAGCCUUAAAGGAGUCACCAUUGGAAUACCACCCUUAGUUUAUUGGAUUUCUAACCUAGGACCAUAAUCUGGUUCAGGGACAGUGUCUGGUGGGCAGUUUGACUGGGGCGGUCGCCUCCUAAAGAGUAACGGAGGCGUUCAAAGGUUCCCUCAGAAUGGUUGGAAAUCAUUCAAAGAGCGUAAAGGUAUAAAGGGAGCUUGACUGCGAGACCUACAAGUCAAGCAGGUGCGAAAGCAGGACUUAGUGAUCAGGCGAUUCAGAAUGGAAUGGUCGUCGCUUAACGGAUAAAAGUUACCCCGGGGAUAACAGGCUGAUACCACCCAAUAGUUCACAUAGACGGUGGUGUUUGGCAC